UAGCUAAUCCUGGUCGGACAUCAGGAGGUUAGUGCAAUGGCAUAAGCUAGCUUGACUGCGAGCGUGACGGCGCGAGCAGGUGCGAAAGCAGGUCAUAGUGAUCCGGUGGUUCUGAAUGGAAGGGCCAUCGCUCAACGGAUAAAAGGUACUCCGGGGAUAACAGGCUGAUACCGCCCAAGAGUUCAUAUCGACGGCGGUGUUUGGCACCUCGAUGUCGGCUCAUCACAUCCUGGGGCUGAAGUAGGUCCCAAGGGUAUGGCUGUUCGCCAUUUAAAGUGGUACGCGAGCUGGGUUUAGAACGUCGUGAGACAGUUCGGUCCCUAUCUGCCGUGGGCGCUGGAGAAUUGAGGGGGGCUGCUCCUAGUACGAGAGGACCGGAGUGGACGCAUCACUGGUGUUCGGGUUGUCAUGCCAAUGGCACUGCCCGGUAGCUAAAUGCGGAAG
rnacentral:rRNA from 2 species